UCGAGGAUCUUCGGCAAUGGGCGCAAGCCUGACCGAGCGACGCCGCGUGUGGGAUGAAGGCCUUCGGGUUGUAAACCACUGUCAGUGGGGAGAAAAUUCUGGUGGGUACUCCCAUCAGUUUGAUCUAUCCGCAGAGGAAGUGUGGGCUAAGUUCGUGCCAGCAGCCGCGGUAAGACGAACCACACAAACGUUAUUCGGAAUCACUGGGCUUAAAGGGUGCGUAGGCGGUGCAGUAAGUUGGGUGUGAAAUCCCUCGGCUUAACCGAGGAACUGCGCCCAAAACUACUGUGCUUGAGGGAGAUAGAGGUGAGCGGAACUGAGGGUGGAGCGGUGAAAUGCGUUGAUAUCCUCAGGAACACCCGUGGCGAAAGCGGCUCACUGGGUCUCUUCUGACGCUGAGGCACGAAAGCUAGGGGAGCAAACGG
rnacentral:rRNA from 1 species